rnacentral:rRNA from 1 species
AUUGAACGCUGGCGGCAUGCCUUACACAUGCAAGUCGAACGGUAACAGGUCUUCGGAUGCUGACGAGUGGCGAACGGGUGAGUAAUACAUCGGAACGUGCCCGAGAGUGGGGGAUAACGAGGCGAAAGCUUUGCUAAUACCGCAUACGAUCUCAGGAUGAAAGCAGGGGACCGCAAGGCCUUGCGCUCACGGAGCGGCCGAUGGCAGAUUAGGUAGUUGGUGGGAUAAAAGCUUACCAAGCCGACGAUCUGUAGCUGGUCUGAGAGGACGACCAGCCACACUGGGACUGGGACACGGCCCAGACUCCUACGGGAGGCAGCAGUGGGGAAUUUUGGACAAUGGGCGCAAGCCUGAUCCAGCCAUGCCGCGUGCAGGAUGAAGGCCUUCGGGUUGUAAACUGCUUUUGUACGGAACGAAAAGACUCUUUCUAAUAAAGGGGGUCCAUGACGGUACCGUAAGAAUAAGCACCGGCUAACUACGUGCCAGCCGCCGCCGUAACAC